GGUCGGAUGGUGUAAUGGUAGCACGUCCUCGUCUUGAACAUUGUAGUGGAGGGAUGCCCAGUCCGAAUCUGGUUCCGACCC